rnacentral:rRNA from 1 species
UGCAAGUCAAACGGGCGCAUCACAGUGGACGUGAUACUACAAAGUAUCGCGGGCAGUGUGAUGCGCCAGUGGCAAACGAGGUAGUAACACGUAGGUACGUACCCUAUAGUCAGGAAUAACCAUGGGAAACCAUGGCUAAUACUUGAUAGUCUCUUCGGAGUAAAGAUUUAUCGCUAUAGGAACGGCCUGCGAGAUAUCAGCUUGUUGGUAGUGUAAAGGACUACCAAGGCUAUGACGUCUAGGGGAGGUGAGAGCCUGACCCCCACCGAUGGCACUGCGACACGGGCCAUACUCCUACGGGAGGCCGCAGUCGAGAAUCUUCCGCAAUGGACGAAGGUCUGACGGAGCGACGCCGCGUGAUUGAUGAAGUUCUUAGGAAUGUAAAGAUCUUUUCUUGGGGAGGAAGUUUAUUGACGUUACCCAAGGAAUAAGGGGCUCCUAAACUCGUGCCAGCAGGAGCGGUAAUACGAGUGCCCCAAGCGUUACCCGGAAUCACUGGGCGUAAAGGGUGUGCAGGCGGUUAUGUUAGUCUUUCGUUAAAUCUCUUGGCUCAACCAAGAAACUGCGGAGGAAACGGCAUAACUAGAGGAUGCGAGAGGUCUAGGGAACUCAUAGUGUAGGGGUGAAAUCCGUUGAUAUUAUGGGGAACACCGAAAGCGAAGGCACUAGACUGGCGCAUUCCUGGCGCUCAUACACGAAAGCGUGGGUAGCGAACGGGAUUAGAUACCCCGGUAGUCCACGCCCUAAACGUUGUCCGUUGGCUUUUCGGAGUAUCGA